rnacentral:lncRNA from 1 species
UUUUAUCAGAGUAAAACCACCAUAUUUUAUUUUAAUUGUCAUAUGGGUAAAACCCAAGUUUCUUGUUACAACAUGUUUAUAAGGAUAACCCUUAUUUUAUUGAAUUUAAAACAUCGUCUUUUUAGGUAACUUUUAUAGCCACAUUUUUCCAAGCCGUCAGUGCUCUCGAGCUGGCUCUAUUCUAAUUGGCUUUCACAUUUUGUUACCUGAAACGCGUUUUAAAAACAUUUUAUCAGCAAGAAAUACUGGUGAGUGAAUCCCAGUUUAAUCAAGAAACAUUAAUUUAAUUUAAACAGUAUUGAGGGCGAUUACAAUGUUUAUAUCUACCCAAUUACUCAUUCAGUAGUGUCAAGUCUGACUGAGGGUCAUAUUACACAUUGGCUAACUCUUCGUCCAAUGGUAACGUUACUCACAUUUUGUAUACAAAACCCCAACAUACCGGCAGUAAUUGUAGAAUUACAAAGACUCAAUCACUGCUAAAUUGCAUUGUAAAAAGGUUAAGGUUUUGUAAAAACUGUUAACAAAAGGAGAUUACUCACAUUGCUAUUUUAGCUAAUUUCGAUGUAAUGAGUAUUUCCUUUGUGGCUUCCUGGUUAUAAUCUAGUUGAAUAAACAAUGCACACGCGUUAGUAUAAUAACCCAUUUUAACAUUAGUAAUACCCUCCCCGAGACGGCAUUCCAACGACUACGUCGGGCAGAACCACGACAGCCGUUACGGAACCCUAGAUCAAUCGGGCAGAGUAUCUAAUACGUAUCCAGGGGUUAUGAUACUUACAACGAGGCAGAGCUUCGCUAAUUAGGGGUAUAAUACCCGAGUAUAAUAAGCCUACUACAGAAAUUGUGAUUGAGAAUUGAGAAAUGAACGAACUGAAUUGAAAUCCGAUGCGUUCCUUAUAUAGUUGCUGAAACUGGUUCCCACGCGGCCCGCGUAAAGAACAGGCAAGGCUUACGCGGCCCGCGUCAAUACUGGGUCAACGCGUAGCUUGUCCUGGUCAUGAUCUAGCCUUGCCACGAUGAUGGCACGUGUCAUCACCGGGCUGCGCCACCAAUUGGGACACUCGCGGCCCGCAUAAACUAACGGUGUGGCCUUACGCGGCCCGCAUGAACUAAAGAAUUCAGCGGAGUUAAGUUACACCCUCACACGGCCCGCGUUAAGUUGAGGUGAGGUCCUACGCGGCCCGCCUCAACUUAUUAUUUCUUGUUUUUGAUUAUUUUUAAUAAUAUAUUGUAUUUCGGGCUCGGUUUUCACAUACGG